rnacentral:snRNA from 1 species
CUGCUCGCUUGGGCGGCACAUAUGCUAAAACUGGAACGAUACAGAGAUUAGCAUGGCCGCCGCGCAAGGAUGACACGCAAAUUCGUGAAGGGUUCCAUAUUUUU